GAUGAACGCUGGCGGCGUGCCUAAUACAUGCAAGUCGAGCGAACAGACGAGGAGCUUGCUCCUCUGACGUUAGCGGCGGACGGGUGAGUAACACGUGGAUAACCUACCUAUAAGACUGGGAUAACUUCGGGAAACCGGAGCUAAUACCGGAUAACAUGUUGAACCGCAUGGUUCAACAGUGAAAGACGGUCUUGCUGUCACUUAUAGCUGGAUCCGCGCCGCAUUAGCUAGUUGGUAAGGUAACGGCUUACCAAGGCAACGAUGCGUAGCCGACCUGAGAGGGUGAUCGGCCACACUGGAACUGAGACACGGUCCAGACUCCUACAGGAGGCAGCAGUAGGGAAUCUUCCGCAAUGGGCGAAAGCCUGACGGAGCAACGCCGCGUGAGUGAAGAAGGUCUUCGGAUCGUAAAACUCUGUUAUUAGGGAAGAACAAAUGUGUAAGUAACUAUGCACGUCUUGACGGUACCUAAUCAGAAAGCCACGGCUAACUACGUG
rnacentral:rRNA from 1 species